UCCAGACUCCUACGGGAGGCAGCAGUGGGGGAUAUUGCACAAUGGGGGGAACCCUGAUGCAGUGACGCCGCGUGGGUGAAGAAGCGCCUCGGCGCGUAAAGCCCUGUCAGCAGGGAAGAAAAUGACGGUACCUGAAGAAGAAGCCCCGGCUAACUACGUGCCAGCAGCCGCGGCAAUACGUAGGGGGCAAGCGUUAUCCGGAUUCACUGGGCGUAAAGGGAGCGCAGGCGGCAUGGCAAGUCUGAUGUGAAAACCCGGGGCCCAACCCCGGGAGUGCAUUGGAAACUGCCAGGCUGGAGUGUCGGAGGGGUAAGCGGAAUUCCUAGUGUAGCGGUGAAAUGCGUAGAUAUUAGGAGGAACACCAGUGGCGAAGGCGGCUUACUGGACGACUACUGACGCUGAGGCUCGAAAGCGUGGGGAGCAAACAGGAUUAGAUACCCGGGUAA
rnacentral:rRNA from 1 species